CCCAGUACGGCGAGUGAGCGGCAACAGCUCAAAUUUGAAAUCUGGUCCCCUUUGGGGGCCCGAGUUGUAAUUUGAAGAGGAUGCUUUUGGCGAGGCGCCGUCCGAGUUCCCUGGAACGGGACGCCGCAGAGGGUGAGAGCCCCGUACGGUCGGACGCCGAGCCUCUGUAAAGCUCCUUCGACGAGUCGAGUAGUUUGGGAAUGCUGCUCAAAAUGGGAGGUAAACCCCUUCUAAAGCUAAAUACCGGCCAGAGACCGAUAGCGCACAAGUAGAGUGAUCGAAAGAUGAAAAGCACUUUGAAAAGAGAGUUAAAAAGCACGUGAAAUUGUUGAAAGGGAAGCGCUUGCGACCAGACUUGCGCCCGUCGGAUCAACCGUCGCUUGCGGCGGCGCACUCCGGCGGGCUCAGGCCAGCAUCAGUUCGCUCGGGGGGAGAAAGGCGGCGGGAAUGUGGCUCCUCGGAGUGUUAUAGCCCGCCGUGUAAUACCCUCGGGUGGACUGAGGACCGCGCGUAUGCAAGGAUGCUGGCGU
rnacentral:rRNA from 1 species